AUGAAGAAGCAGCAGCCAGAGGAAGAAAGUAAAAGCAGCUAUAUAGGGAAAGAAAGAUGUACCUUGAAAAAAAGUGGCAUGGCUUCUACAAAGGACCCGUGUGCUCAGGGGAUUAUACCUUCUGUUUACAUAGGAAUAAAUAUGCAUUUCAUUUAUCAUCUGCAUUUUAAAUAAAUCAUGGGUUCUCAAGCAGAAUUUGAAGUUAUCAUUUUCUACGUAAUGUCUGAAUUUCCUCUGCUAAUUCUCCAGCCAAAGGUCAUAAAGCCAUCUGUUUGAACACCUUCAGUAAUGGGACAGCACCUUUCCUCUUUCAGGAGGCAAUCACUUAAGACAUUUCUAAAGAUAAAACUAUUAGAUUGUGAUUCUUUAAUCAUCCAGAAAGUGACUUACUGUUUGACUUAGGUUUUCCAUUCUUAUUUUACACAAAAUGAGUCCUACACCUCUAUACUUAACUCCUAGUUUCAUGACAUGGUCAAGCAUGGCCAUCACCUAGAAAUACCUGCUAAACUGCCCCCAGAAGCCCUAGGCAGGGUAUAUAGACCCUUCUAAGUGGUAUCUAACUGAUGAUAUAGGAGCACAAUCUUGCAUUUAGAUCACAAUUCACUGUAGAUGCCAUGUCUUAUUUAAUAAUUUGCUUAUCAAUAGACUUCAGAUAAAUUGUCUUAUACAAAAGGCCUACUACUAGGAAUUCAAGUAUAUUCAUUCUCUCUUUUGUCAGAAAUUUUCCUUUGGCAAGCUCUUAUGGUAGCUUAAGAAAAAAUAAAACAACAAAAACGAUCCAUCAUCCUUGUGGGCUGUACCAGGCACCCUCCUGAAUCCAUCAAGGCCGUGUAUCCCCCCAUUCUAAGCUCUGUUUGUCUCUGUCUCAUAUGAAUAUUUCGUGCACUCAGUGAAAACAAUCAUAGGCAACUCUAGGCCCCAAGCCUGUGACGCCAGCAAAUGCAGUCACUUCCCUAUUGUCUGAAUAUCACAUUUCCUGAAAGAGUCCCAGUUGGCCCAGGCAUAAGACAUGGUGCUACUGGACAGGCCCAACGCAACUGCAUGUGUUGAGGAGGAAAAGUCCUCCGAAAAAACAAAAUCUGUGCCAUCCACGCAGAUCCAUUAAAAAUGGGUGCAAAAUUGUAGAACAAUGAAGAGACAAGAAAAGAAUGUCACUUGUGACCUACACAGUCACCAAAUCUGGCUUUGGUUGAUUAGUCGGAAAAGUAAAACUUUCAUUUAAUUUUCAGAAUAGGUGGCAAUGGAGAGCAGCUUGACAUUCACAAAGGCCAUAUUGUAUUUCAGUCUCAUGUUUGACACUACACAAAUCCCAUUUCCUGCACCUGAGAGACUUUCCAUUCAAUAAAGUCAAGGAGCUGAUAAAGAGGUAGAAUUCAAAUAGUGAAGAAGUUGGAAGAUCACAAUUUAGCAAGAUUCUAACUUGCCAAAAAUCAGGAGCAGGCAAGUAUCAAAGAAGAAUCUGGAGAUUAAUACAGGAUCACACUUUAAACAGGUGAAAAGCACUGCCUCAUGUCUAGUAUUAGGGCAUCCCAUGGGUAAUUUAAACUCCUUAUUGGAACAAAGUUUAUUUCUGCAGAAGGAUUUGUAAAUGUUCUGUAUUCCAUCACAAUAACCCUGUCUUUUACCAUAUUAAACAUUUGAUUCUGUUAAUUCAUAAAGGCUGAUUUUGGUUCAUAUUCCACACUCUAUUAAAACACAUAAACACAGACUUAAAUCUAGGAGAGAAGUGCCUCAGAUAACUGUCCUUGUCUUAGCAACCACCAGUACCUAAUUCAGCGGAUGGCCCACAGCAGUUACUCAGUAAACGUUACAUCAAAACACUGAAAAAUCUUGAGUUAGGUGAUUUUAAAGGUCUGCCAUUUUUUGAGAUCUAUGUUUCUACUUGUGCCAUUUAUCAAGUAAAUUCAUGAAAUUUGUACCAGAUCAUUUUUACGUUUUCAUUUAUGUUUUGUUUUAGAAAUAAAGCACAUUUUUCAGAACUGCAAAUUGAUGAAAGUGUAUUUUAAUGAUGUCCAUGUUUAAUGUUUCAAAGAAUUUUCACAUUAUGACAUUUCCUCUUCAAAGCAAUCCUAUCCUUGUGAAAGAUACUAUUGCCAUUUUUGUCAGAUGAUGGAAUGGGUUCAUUACAGGGCUUAGGAAAAUUCCUAAAUUAUUCUGUGUUUCAGUGAUUUCUCUGUUACCAAUUUUACUCUCCCAUUCUAAUUUCUGACUGAGCACAAUGUUCAAAUGCCUUCUCUGCAUAAAAUAUACAAAAAAGAUACUGUUGGCAGAAAAAAAAAAUUCUGUCUAAAACCUGUGCCAAAUAUGAACAAUAAAAAAGAAUGCCUAAUUAUGUAAAGUUUACUGCUUAAUUUAAAAGCCUUUCUAUUGUACAGGAUCCUUUUAAUUACUGCUGUGAAUGCUAUCUCCUGUGAUCUUUCAUGUAUACUGCCAUCUGUUUUCAAAACAUCUUAUGAUCUUGAAAUAACAUUGCAUACAAUCCACAGUUUUUUAUUCAGACUACUGGGACAAUGUGAAAGACCCCACACAGCGUGACUGCAAAUCUCAUUGCUUUCUAUGAAUAAAGGAAAACAAAGUUAACUACAAAAACCCAGUAUGUUUUCAAACUUCAUCUGGACCACAGCCUCUGGAUUAAUAAAUUGUAGGAAACAGUCCUGCUGCUAAUUAGCUACAUGACAGUAGGUAAGGCACUGUAACUUGCUGAUCUUCAGUUUUCUCACUUGCAUAAAGGAGGAAUAGAUUUGAUGAAAACUAAAGAGCUUCCUAGACUGAAGACAUCUAUGAACCAUGAACUCAGAUUUUGAAUUCUACAGAGUUCAAUAUUGUGGAGUAUGAUCGACCCAUCUCCAGAAGUUUUGCCUUGUCUAUACGUGCACAAUCACAGACUCCCAGACACCCCCACACACAUAAUAUUAAAUCAAGGCUUUGACAUAAUCGCAAAAUAAAACCCUUGCUUAACAGUUCAUUCCAAUUUGAUUUUAUAGAAUCCAGCUUUCUUUGAUUAUUGAAAGAAUAUUGUAGCUGAGGCUGGGUGUGGUGGCUUAUGCCUAUCACCUCGGUACUUUGGGAGGCCAAAGCAAUAUUGUUUGAGUUCAGGAGUUUAAGACCAACCUGGACAACAUUGCAAGACCUCAUCUCUACUAAAAAGAAAACAAAUUAAUGAAUAUUGUAGUGGAAACAUGAGGAAAAGUGGUUAUCAUUCAUUAUAUAAAGUACCCGUGUGUGUGUGUUAUGUUAUUAUAUAUGUUUAUGAUAUUUUCAUGAUGGAGCAUAGAAAUUCAUUAACUCAACAGCAGUAAAAACUCAACUAUGAUAAGGGUUUAAAAGGUGAAGGAUGUUGGUCUAAUUCACCUUUAUGUCUUAUCAGAGCUUGAAGCUUUCCCUUGCACAUAGUAGAUACUAAAUAAAUAUUCACUGAUCUUUAGAAUUUUGUGACUCCAUGAUUAUAAUUAUUUGAAUGGAAGAGGUAAGUUAAUGCAUGUUAAAACACUGCAGUCUGCUCAGUGCCUGAUACAUGCAAAACUCAAAUUUAAUUAAUCUAUUUAUUUGAACUAAGAAAAUGUGUUCAAAAUAUUUGUUUAAAAGGCCCAGCUUUUUAUUUUUUUCUGGGAUUAUAUUGUGAACAUUCCACAAAAAAGUAAUAUAUACAAAAGAUAUAUGUAUAAGAAUGAUCAACCCAAGGAUUUAUAAUAGCAAAACAUUUAAUAUAAACUGUUAAAAGCUGGGUUGGUUAAGGUAAUCAUAUGGCACCUAUUAAUGUAUGAUGCAUUUUUACAGGGCAAUAAUAUAUACAGCUGUUACUGUUAAAUAAAGUAAAAAUGGACAUCGUGUAGUUGUCUGAAACUGAUUUAACUUUACUUAUAAAAACAUGAUAUACUUUGCUAAUAAAUUAAAAUUUUACAUAUAGUGAAACAUUUGCUAACUUGGCAUCAUAUAAUUAUUAUAUUGUAUUUAACAAAAUCUAUUUAGUAUAUUACAUAUUAUAAUAAAAAGUCUCAACUAAAAAUUACUUGUACCAAUGACCUAAUCAAAGAAAUGAAUAAGCCAGACUGGGCAUGGUGACUCAUGCCUGUAAUCCAAGUACUUUGGGAGGCCGAGGUGGGUGGAUCACUUGAGGUCAGGAGUUCAAGAGCAGCCUGCCCAACAUGGUAAAACCUGUCUCUACUAAAAAUACAAAAAUUAGCCAAUCAUGGUGGUGCAUGUCUGUAAUCCCAGCUACUCAGAGGCUAAGGCAGGAGGAUCACUUGAACCAGGGUGGCAGAAGUUGCAGUGAUUUGAGAUCACGCCAUUGCAUUCCAGACUGGGCAACUGAGUGAGACUCAGAGAGAAGGAAAAGAAGGGAGAGGAGAGGAGAGGAGAGGAGAGGAGAGGAGAGGAGAGGAGAGGGGAGGGGAGGGGAGGAAGAGGAAGGGAGGAAGGGAGGAAGGGAGGAAGGGAGGAAGGGAGGAAGGAAGGAAGGGAGGGAGGGAGGGAGGGAGGGAGGGAGGGAGGGAGGGAGGAAGGAAGGAAGGAAGGAAGGAAGGAAGGAAGGAAGGAAGGAAGGAAGGAAGGAAGGAAGGAAACAAGUCAAAUGGAGCAAGUUUAUCACCCAACCAUUAUUAAAUCCCUGUGGAAUAUAGAUUAAAAUAUAUUAAUCUCCAAGCGAUAUUUCAACUGCACUUACAUACCACCCAUUCAUUGUAAGAUUCUUUAGUGCAGAAGGUAAAAAGUCAAAUGCCUACCGUAAAUGCCAAGUACUGCAAGGAGUACUAAAGACUGAAGCUAGCUAUAAUGCAAAAGAGAG
rnacentral:lncRNA from 1 species